rnacentral:rRNA from 1 species
ACUCAAAUGAAUAGACGGGGGCCCGCACAAGCGGUGGAGCAUGUGGUUUAAUUCGAUGCAACGCGAAGAACCUUACCAAGGCUUGACAUCCUCCUGACCGGUACAGAGAUGUAGCUUCCCUUCGGGGCAGGAGAGACAGGUGGUGCAUGGUUGUCGUCAGCUCGUGUCGUGAGAUGUUGGGUUAAGUCCCGCAACGAGCGCAACCCUUAUUAUCAGUAGCCAUCGGGUAGAGCCGGGCACUCUGGUGAGACUGCCGUGGAUAACACGGAGGAAGGUGGGGACGACGUCAAAUCAUCAUGCCCUUUAUGUCUUGGGCAACACACGUGCUACAAUGGCUGUUACAAAGUGAAGCGAAGCAGUGAUGCGGAGCAAAGCACAAAAAAGCAGCCCCAGUUCGGAUUGUAGUCUGCAACUCGACUAUAUGAAGCUGGAAUCGCUAGUAAUCGCGAAUCAGCAUGUCGCGGUGAAUACGUUCCCGGGCCUUGUACACACCGCCCGU